GACGAACGCUGGCGGCGCGCUUAACACAUGCAAGUCGAACGGACAGGCCUGCUUUCCCUUGUUGUUUUCGGGUACUCGAGUGGCUAACGGGUGAGUAACACGUGUGUCAUCUGCCCCCAACUUGGUUCUAAGCCUGGGAAACUGUGUCUAAUUCCCUUUAGGACUGCAUGGUUGUGCCUGUGGUGGCAAUCGUUUUUCUAGUGGUUGUUGAUGAGCUCGCGGCCUAUCAGCUUGUUGGUGGGGUAAUGUCCUACCAAGGCGGAGACGGGUAGCCGGACUGAGAGGGUGGACGGCGACAUUGGGACUGAGACACGGCCCAGACGCCAACGGGAGGCAGCAGAGGGGAAGAUAGCAGAAUGGGCGGAAGGCAGAUGCAGCGAGGCAGCGAGGGGGAUGACGGGAUUCGGGUAGUAAACUACUAGCGAACGAGAGGAAGCCACCUGGUUGGAAGGGUGGUGACGGUAGUGGUAGAAGAAGCAACGGCUAACUACGUG
rnacentral:rRNA from 1 species